rnacentral:rRNA from 1 species
ACGGAGGGUGCAAGCGUUAUCCGGAUUUAUUGGGUUUAAAGGGUGCGUAGGCGGGCUAUUAAGUCAGUGGUGAAAUCUCUCAGCUUAACUGGGAAACUGCCAUUGAUACUGAUAGCCUUGAAUUUAGUUGAAGUAGGCGGAAUGAGGCAUGUAGCGGUGAAAUGCAUAGAUAUGCCUCAGAACACCGAUCGCGAAGGCAGCUUACUAAACUAACAUUGACGCUGAGGCACGAAAGCGUGGGUAGCAAACAGG